rnacentral:tRNA from 1 species
UCCAGGUGGCUCAGUGGUAAAGAAUCUGCCUGUAAUGCAGGAGACUCAGGUUCGAUCCCUGGGUCAGGAA